rnacentral:rRNA from 1 species
GAACGAUGAAACUUAAAUGAACUCUUCGGAGUGAUUUUAAGUGGAUUAGUGGCGGACGGGUGAGUAACGCGUGAGUAACCUUGCCUUAGAGAAGGGGAUAGCCUUUGGAAACGAAGAAUAAUACCCUAUAACACCAACACCUCGCAUGAAGAGUUGGUCAAAGAUUUAUCGCUCUAAGAUGGACUUGCGUCUGAUUAGUUAGUUGGUGAGGUAACGGCCCACCAAGACAGCGAUCAGUAGCCGGCUUGAGAGAGUGUACGGCCACAUUGGGACUGAGACACGGCCCAGACUCCUACGGGAGGCAG